GAGUGGCGGACGGGUGAGUAACGCGUGGGGAACCUGCCCCAUACCGGGGGAUAACAGCCGGAAACGGCUGCUAAUACCGCAUAAGCGCACAGUACCGCAUGGUACGGUGUGAAAAACUCCGGUGGUAUAAGAUGGACCCGCGUUGGAUUAGCUAGUUGGCAGGGCAGCGGCCUACCAAGGCGACGAUCCAUAGCCGGCCUGAGAGGGUGAACGGCCACAUUGGGACUGAGACACGGCCCAGACUCCUACGGGAGGCAGCAGUGGGGAAUAUUGCACAAUGGGGGAAACCCUGAUGCAGCGACGCCGCGUGGAGGAAGAAGGUCUUCGGAUUGUAAACUCCUGUUGUUGAGGAAGAUAAUGACGGUACUCAACAAGGAAGUGACGGCUAACUACGUGCCAGCAGCCGCGGUAAAACGUAGGUCACAAGCGUUGUCCGGAAUUACUGGGUGUAAAGGGAGCGCAGGCGGGAAGACAAGUUGGAAGUGAAAUCUAUGGGCUCAACCCAUAAACUGCUUUCAAAACUGUUUUUCUUGAGUAGUGCAGAGGUAGGCGGAAUUCCCGGUGUAGCGGUGGAAUGCGUAGAUAUCGGGAGGAACACCAGUGGCGAAGGCGGCCUACUGGGCACCAACUGACGUUGAGGCUCGAAAGUGUGGGUAGCAAACAGGAUUAGAUACCCUGGUAGUCCACACCGUAAACGAUGAUUACUAGGUGUUGGAGGAUUGACCCCUUCAGUGCAGCAGUUUACACAAUAAAGUAAUCCACCUGGGGGAGUACGACCGCAAGGUUGAAACUCAAAGGAAUUGACGGGGGCCCGCACAAGCAGUAGAGUAUGUGGUUUAAUUCGACGCAACGCGAAGAACCUUACCAAGUCUUGACAUCAUGCGACGAUGCUGGAAACAGUAUUUUCCUUCGGGACGCAGAGACAGGUGGUGCAUGGUUGUCGUCAGCUCGUGUCGUGAGAUGUUGGGUUAAGUCCCGCAACGAGCGCAACCCUUACUGUCAGUUACUACGCAAGAGGACUCUGGCAGGACUGCCGUUGACAAAACGGAGGAAGGUGGGGAUGACGUCAAAUCAUCAUGCCCUUUAUGACUUGGGCUACACACGUACUACAAUGGCGUUAAACAAAGAGAAGCAAGACCGCGAGGUGGAGCAAAACUCAGAAACAACGUCCCAGUUCGGACUGCAGGCUGCAACUCGCCUGCACGAAGUCGGAAUUGCUAGUAAUCGUGGAUCAGCAUGCCACGGUGAAUACGUUCCCGGGCCUUGUACAAACCGCCCGUCA
rnacentral:rRNA from 1 species